rnacentral:rRNA from 1 species
CCCUUAGAUGUUCUGGGCGGCCCGCGCACUACAUUGGCACUAGCAAAGAGAUCCUAGAUUGAAUUCUUUGGGGUAUUCUUCUAAAUGGUGUCGUGACUGGGAUAAAUCCUUGUAAUUAUUGGUUUUGAACGAGGAAUUCCUUGUAAUCGCGGUUUAUCAGCUCGCGUUGAAUGCGUCCCUGCCCUUUGUACACACCGCCCGUCGCUCCUACCGAUGGAUCGUCCGGUGAAGCUCACGGAGUGACUGUUCACGCAACGGUUUACGGAGUGAAAUGGACCUCACGAUUUAGAGGAAGGAGAAGUCGUAACA